rnacentral:rRNA from 1 species
AGUCGAGAAUCUUCGGCAAUGGGCGAAAGCCUGACCGAGCAAUGCCGCGUGCGGGAUGAAGGCCUUCGGGUUGUAAACCGCUGUCAGUUGGGAGGAAGGGUCCGUGAAGAGCGGAUCUUGACCUAUCUUCAGAGGAAGUCCGGGCUAAGUUCGUGCCAGCAGCCGCGGUAAUACGAACCGGACAAACGUUAUUCGGAAUUAUUGGGCUUAAAGGGUGCGUAGGCGGCGAUGUAGGUGGGGUGUGAAAUCCCUCGGCUCAACCGAGGAACUGCGCCCCAAACCACAUGGCUAGAGGGAGACAGAGGUAAGCGGAACUGAUGGUGGAGCGGUGAAAUGCGUUGAUAUCAUCAGGAACACCAGUGGCGAAAGCGGCUUACUGGGUCUCUUCUGACGCUGAGGCACGAAAGCUAGGGUAGCGAA